CCCAGUAAACGGCGGCCGUAACUAUAACGGUCCUAAGGUAGCGAAAUUCCUUGUCAGGUAAGUUCUGACCCGCACGAAAGGCGUAACGAUUUGGGCGCUGUCUCAGCUGUAGACUCGGUGAAGUCUUAGUACCUGUGAAGAUGCAGGUUACCCGCGACUAGACGGAAAGACCCCAUGGAGCUUUACUGUAGCUUGAUAUUGGACUUUGAUGCAAGAUGUACAGGAUAGGUAGGAGACUGAGAGACAUGCACGCCAGUGUGUGAGGAGUCAAUGUUGGGAUACUACUCUUCUUGUAUUGGAGUUCUAACCGGAUGCCAUGGAACUGGCAACGGGACAGUGUCAGGUGGGCAGUUUGACUGGGGCGGUCGCCUCCCAAAGAGUAACGGAGGCGCCCAAAGAUACCCUCAGCUUGGAUGGAAAUCAAGCGCAGAGUGCAAAGGCAUAAGGGUGUUUGACUGCGAGACCUACAAGUCGAGCAGGGACGAAAGUCGGGCUUAGUGAUCCGGCGGUGCUGAAUGGAAAGGCCGUCGCUCAACGGAUAAAAGCUACCCUGGGGAUAACAGGCUGAUCUCCCCCAAGAGUUCACAUCGACGGGGAGGUUUGGCACCUCGAUGUCGGCUCGUCGCAUCCUGGGGCUGAAGUAGGUCCCAAGGGUUGGGCUGUUCGCCCAUUAAAGCGGUACGCGAGCUGGGUUCAGAACGUCGUGAGACAGUUCGGUCCCUAUCUGUCGUGGGCGUAGGAAGUUUGAGAAGAUCUGUCCUCAGUACGAGAGGACCGGGAUGGACAUAUCAAUGGUGCACCAGUUGUCACGCCAGUGGCACAGCUGGGUAGCUAAAUAUGGAAGGGAUAAACGCUGAAGGCAUCUAAGUGUGAAACCCACUUCAAGAUGAGACUUCCCAUUACGCAAGUAAGUAAGACCCCUUAAAGACGAUAAGGUUGAUAGGUCAGGAGUGUAAGCAUGGCGACAUGUUCAGCGGACUGAUACUAAUAGGUCGAGGACUUAACCUA
rnacentral:rRNA from 1 species